AGUGAACGCUGGCGGUAGGCCUAACACAUGCAAGUCGAACGGCAGCACAGUAAGCGUUCGCCCUUACGGGUGGCGAGUGGCGGGCGGGUGACGCGUACAUCGGCAUCUUCUAUUUCGGGGGGGAUAACGUAGGGCAACUGCUGCUACCACCUCAUAUGUCCUACGGCUGAAAGCAGUGGUUCAUCGCGCCUUUCGUGUUUGAUUUAGCUGAUGUCGGAUUAGCUAGUCGGCGGGGUAAAGUCCCACCAAGGCGACGAACCGUAGCUGGUCUGAGAGGAUGAUCGGCCACACUGGAACUGAGACACGGUCCAGACUCCUACGGGAGGCAGCAGUGGGGAAUAUUGGACAAUGGGCGCAAGCCUGACCCAGCCAUACCGCGUGGGUGAAGAAGGCCUUCGGGUUGUAAAGCCCUUUUGUUGGGAAAGAAAAGCAGCGGGUUAAUACCCCGCUGUUCUGACGGUACCCAAAGAAUAAGCACCGGCUAACUUCGUG
rnacentral:rRNA from 1 species